UCGCGAAUUUUUCACAAUGGACGCAAGUCUGAUGAAGCCACGCCGCGUGCGGGAUGAAGGCCCUCUGGGUUGUAAACCGCUGUCAGGGGAGGGGAAACGUACGGUAUAAAUAGUGCCGUAUUUGACUGCUCUCCAAAGGAAGCCCCGGCAAAACAUGUGCCAGCAGCCGCGGUAAUACAUGUGGGGCAAGCGUUGUUCGGAAUCACUGGGCAUAAAGGGUGCGUAGGUGGUCUGUUAAGUCAGGGGUGAAAGUCUGUGGCCCAACCAUAGAAUUGCCUGUGAUACUGGCGGACUUGAGUGCGUAAGGGGUAACCGGAACGAGCAGUGUAGCGGUGAAAUGCGUAGAUAUUGCUCGGAAGGCCAGAGGCGAAGGCGGGUUACUGGUGCGCAACUGACACUG
rnacentral:rRNA from 1 species